rnacentral:rRNA from 1 species
UAGAGUUUGAUCCUGGCUCAGGAUGAACUCUUGCGGCGUGCCUAACACAUGCAAGUCGAGCGAUGAAUCUUUCACCGCGUCCUUCGGGACAAGGUAAAAGUGGAUUAGCGGCGGACGGGUGAGUAACACGUGAGGAACCUGCCUUUCACAACGGGAUAGCCUCGGGAAACCGGGAUUAAUACCGUAUGAUAGCUUAGUAUCGCAUGGUACUAAACUCAAAGAAUUUCGGUGAAAGAUGGCCUCGCGUCCCAUUAGCUAGUUGGUGAGAUAAAAGCUCACCAAGGCGAUGAUGGGUAGCCGGCCUGAGAGGGUGAACGGCCACACUGGAACUGAGACACGGUCCAGACUCCUACGGGAGGCAGCAGUGGGGAGUAUUGCACAAUGGAGGAAACUCUGAUGCAGCGACGCCGCGUGAGCGAAGAAGGCCUUCGGGUCGUAAAGCUUUGUCCUAGGGGAAGAUAGUGACGGUACCUUAGGAGGAAGCCCCGGCUAACUACGUGCCAGCAGCCGCGGUAAUACGUAGGGGGCGAGCGUUAUCCGGAAUUAUUGGGCGUAAAGGGUUCGCAGGCGGCUAAACAAGUCAGGUGUGAAAGGUCGAGGCUUAACCUCGGUAAGCAUUUGAAACUGUCUAGCUUGAGUUAAGGAGAGGAAAGAGGAAUUCCUAGUGUAGCGGUGAAAUGCGUAGAGAUUAGGAAGAACACCAGUGGCGAAGGCGCUUCUCUGGACUGUAACUGACGCUGGGGCUCGAAAGCGUGGGGAGCAAACAAGAUUAGAUACCCUGGUAGUCCACGCCGUAAACGAUGAAUACUAGGUGUAGGGGUUGUCAUGACCUCUGUGCCGCCGCUAACGCAUUAAGUAUUCCGCCUGGGGAGUACGGUCGCAAGAUUAAAACUCAAAGGAAUUGACGGGGGCCCGCACAAGCAGCGGAGCAUGUGGUUUAAUUCGAUGAUACGCGAGGAACCUUACCCGGGCUCGAACGGUGCAUGAAUAUACGAGAGAUUGUAUAGUCCUUCGGGACAUGUAUCGAGGUGCUGCAUGGUUGUCGUCAGCUCGUGCCGUGAGGUGUCGGCUUAAGUGCCAUAACGAGCGCAACCCUUGUCAUUAGUUGCCAUCAGGUCAAGCUGGGGACUUUAAUGAGACUGCCACCGUAAGGUGUGAGGAAGGGGGGGAUGACGUCAAAUCAGCACGGCCCUUAUGUCCGGGGCGACACACGUGUUACAAUGGGAGGUACAGAGGGCAGCUAUCCGGUGACGGAAUGCUAAUCUCCAAAACCUUUCUCAGUUCGGAUUGGAGUCUGCAACUCGACUCCAUGAAGGUGGAUUCGCUAGUAAUCGCGCAUCAGCCAUGGCGCGGUGAAUACGUUCCCGGGCCUUGUACACACGGCCCGUCA